CCUACGGGUGGCUGCAGUGAGGAAUAUUGGUCAAUGGCCGGGAGGCUGAACCAGCCAAGUCGCGUGAGGGAAGACGGCCCUACGGGUUGUAAACUUCUUUUGUCAGGGAGCAAGGUGCAGGUCGGGACCUGCUGUGAGAGUACCUGAAGAAAAAGCAUCGGCUAACUCCGGGCCAGCAGCCGCGGUAAUACGGGGGAUGCGAGCGUUAUCCGGAUUGAUUGGGCUAAAAGGGUGGGCAGGCGGGGGCACAAGUCAGCGGUAAUAUCGCGGGGCUCAACCUCGCUACGCCGUUGAAACUGUGUCCCUUGAGUGCGCGAAGGGUAGGCGGAAUGCGUGGUGUAGCGGUGAAAUGCGUAGAUAUCACGAAGAACUCCGAUCGCGAAGGCAGCCCACCGGCGCGCAACUGACGCUCAUGCACGAAAGCGUGGGUAUCGAACAGGAUUAGAUACCCGUGUAGUC
rnacentral:rRNA from 1 species